UAAGGUUUCCCUGUUUCACCCUCCCCAACACAGCACAAAAUACUGGGCUGUGUCAGCUCUUGGCUGGAGCAGCAAACGGAGGGAGUUCCAGGCUCUGCUGCCACAGACUCCCCACUUGAGGGAACAGAACCCCCCCAGGCCUCAUUGCAAAUGCUGUGCACGCCCCGCUGGCUGCAGACACCCCCUUUUUCAGCUGCAGCUGCUGGCAGGAGCUCUCCCAAACCAACCCUGUCCUCAGGGCAAUUUGGUUACAGAGUCAACUCCGUUCCAGUGGAAGAACAGAAAGCACACAGCAAGCCCAAAGCCACAGAGGCUGCACCGAGGGAAAACCUCAACUUACGUGCCAAGUGGGUUAAAAAAUACCCCGAAUAAGCCACAGAGAACAGAGUGCCAACUGCAGCAACCACUUGCUGCAUCAUUUUGGCUGCGCUGCACACGUCUGCAGACUGUACCCCUGCAAGCACAGAAGGACACCCGUCAGGGGCUGGGCUGGCUGCUGAGAAUGCCUCGGGCAGGAGGAUCCUCUGGCAACGAGCAGGCGCCCAGAGCCGCUCUGGACACUGAGGCCUCCGUGUCCCACAGCAACGGGAACACCACGGGGACGUGGCAACGCUCCUGUGACACCACAGCAGCCGCUCACGCAAAAACCACCUGGAAGCUUCUCCUGUGUCACAAAGGAGCACAAAGAAUCCUCCCAGGGCACGGCCUAUUGCCCAAAGGAUCCAAGAGGAACUCUGAAAAUGCAGCAAACAAGGACACCCCAUAGCCCAGCCUGAGCACUGAGGAGGAACGAGGACAGCACCAAACCAGAGCAAACACAACCUGUAGUCACUGAUACUGCUGAAUAAAACCAGCAAGGCUUGUUCCAUCUGGAAUCUUUGUUCUAGUUCUAAAAACAAGCAAGGUUCUCCACUGUAAAUAUACAGAAGGCAGGAACUGGGGAGGAGGUGGGAUUAGGAAGGAGGAGGAGCAGGAGGAGGGAGAAAGGAAAAGGAGGAGCAGGAACAGGAAUAGAAGGAGAAGCUGGAGGUUCCAGUGCCCUCUGUGUCCGCAGCACCCCCGGCCACGGGCCCAUCGCCCCCACCUCAUCCUGCAGGAUUUGUCAUUCCCAAGCCAUGGCCAGAUGGAGGAAGAG